GUGCUCUCUUCAACAACACAUACUAAAAUUGGAACAAUACUGAGAAGUUCAUGUCCCCUGUGUAAGUAUGAUAUCCAUAUCUAUGAAGCAUUCCAUAUUUUU
rnacentral:snRNA from 1 species